GUCACAGCGGCGGACCAUGCAUGGAAACCUGACGGAGGGAACGAUGCCAACGCUUCGAGCGUACCCGAAACUCGG
rnacentral:ribozyme from 12 species